UACGAAGGGUGCAAGCGUUACUCGGAAUUACUGGGCGUAAAGCGUGCGUAGGCGGUUUGUUAAGUCCGUUGUGAAAGCCCUGGGCUCAACCUGGGAAUUGCAGUGGAUACUGGCGAGCUAGAGUGCGGUAGAGGAUGGUGGAAUUCCCGGUGUAGCGGUGAAAUGCGUAGAGAUCGGGAGGAACACCCGUGGCGAAGGCGGCCAUCUGGACGGUAACUGACACUGAGACGCGAAAGCGUGGGGAGCAAACAGGG
rnacentral:rRNA from 1 species